UACGAAGGGGGCUAGCGUUGCUCGGAAUCACUGGGCGUAAAGGGUGCGUAGGCGGGUCUUUUAAGUCAGGGGUGAAAUCCUGGAGCUCAACUCUGGAACUGCCUUUGAUACUGUCGGUCUAGAGUAUGGAAGAGGUGAGUGGAAUUCCGAGUGUAGAGGUGAAAUUCGUAGAUAUUCGGAGGAACACCAGUGGCGAAGGCGGCUCACUGGUCCAUUACUGACGCUGAGGUGCGAAAGCGUGGGGAGCAAACAGGAGUUAGAA
rnacentral:rRNA from 1 species